rnacentral:lncRNA from 1 species
AGAGGCAUCUUACAGUGGACAACCUACUUAAAAGAUGAUGGAUGGGGAUUAUAGCCUGCGUACUGUGCGGGUUAGAAGAGGAAACUGUAGAUAAGGAUGCAAACAGGACGGAUCCGGAGACGGGAGGAUUCUCCUACCUUCCGCUCCAUUUCUUGUCAGGACAGGGCGAAUUUAGGACGGGUUAUUUUUCAUUUUACUUUUGGCUCUCAUUUACCGCUCCAUUCGGGGUGGGAAUGAUUUUUUUGUGGAUUUUUGACAGAUUGUGGUGACCAUCUAUUUACGCAAUGCGUAUUUAGUAAAUUCUUAAUAGUGACAGUCUUGGAGGGGAUUCAAUCGAUAGAUCUAGAUGACGAAAUGUCUCACAUUUGGGAUAAGUGAAUUUCAAGAUUUAUAAAUCAACCUACACGUUCUAAACUGAUCGGACUGAUAGCCUGUUGGUGAGUUAUUUGGAAUGGUAGAAAUGAUACGAAUUUUAGAAAAAUUAAUUAACGCGGAU